AAGAGCUGGAAUAAAAUAAGCGCCCGGUUCCGGAUUGUGCCGCCUUCUCAGCUGCCCACAGGAGCGGCACUCGCCAUCCCUCUCCUCGUCCUCUCCCUCUCUGACACGAACAUGCACAUGCCCACACGCACCCAUGGGUUCGUGCGGCACUUGGAGAGCCACAGUCAGAUCAAGAAUAAACUUUCCCAGAUGAAGUCAGAUCUUUAAGCACAGAACUCAUGAUAGUACUGGGAUAACUCCAUAGGCCUGCAAGUACCAUCUGUCUCCUCAUCUAAAGUAAUUUCAAUUAAAACUGAGAUUAUUUCUUGUUUUCUCUCAAUCCUGUGAAGGAGAGAUGACAAGCAAAGUCAUAAGCAAAGGAAAGUGAAAAAAAAAAAGCUGGACUUGCAGCAAAAAGCUCAGCAAGAAGGUCCUCAGAAUGCUGACCAAGAACUGCAUCUUCAAAUACAUCUGAGGAACAAAGCCAUACACCUUUUUGGGACAAUUCUAUUUUCAUUUAUUUGGUUUAUAUAUAAUAAACUCUUGCUCUGGACAGUGACAUUUGGCCUUUCCAUCUGAGGACUUUUUGUCCCAGCAGAACAGAUGACCAGCAAUCAAGAAGGGCUUCUUUUUCUUCACCUUGAGCAAGUCCCUUAAUACCACUUUGCCUCAAUUUUCCCAUCUGCAAAUGUUUACUUUCCUCAGCAGAAUUGGCUGUUGAUUUACUUUUGCCUCCUGCUGAAUAACGUUCCCAAACACAAAGCGUUAUUCAGCGCUGGAAUUGGUGGUGCCGACAUUUCCUGCCCAGGCACAAAAAGACCAGCACUAUUUUUAGUGAGGGCUUUUCUUUCCAUUGUUUCUUUCUUUGUGAAGCUGCAUUUUCCAGUGCUCUUUAAUGUGGCUUUUUGUGUGUGCAUGUGUGUUCAUUGAUUGGAAAUCCUGAGGGAUGAGUUUUGGUUUCAAUUAAUUUUAUUAAUAAAGAUCACGCUAUAGACUAA